rnacentral:tRNA from 1 species
AAGCACAUAACUCAGAGGAUAGAGUAUCAGAUUCCGAUUCUGAUAGUCGAGGGUUCAAAUCCCUCUGUGCUUG